CCUGGAGUGGCUACUGCCAGGAAGAAAACACCCAUGUGAUGGACGGCUUUGGAACCCACCUUCAGCAUCUUGCACCAUUAGGGCUCCAUGAGGCAAAGCUUCCACCAUAUGAUGAUGAGAAUCCAUAUGGAGGAACAUGUGCAUAAUGAGGUGGAAAUAAUGUUACAGCAGAUCACAUCUGGAGUCAAAACUUCCUGUUUGGAGUCAAAACUUCCU